AAAGUACUCCCUCCAUCCCAAAAUUCUUGUCUUAGAUUUGUCUAGAUACGGAUGUAUCAAGUCACAUUUUAGUAUUAGAUACAUCCGUAUCUAGAAAAAUGUAAGACAAGAAAUUUGGGACAGAGGGAGUAUUUG
rnacentral:pre_miRNA from 1 species